UACGAAGGGGGCUAGCGUUGCUCGGAAUUACUGGGCGUAAAGGGCGCGUAGGCGGAUGUUUAAGUCAGAGGUGAAAGCCCAGGGCUCAACCUUGGAACUGCCUUUGAUACUGCGCAUCUUGAGUAUGGGAGAGGUGAGUGGAACUCCGAGUGUAGAGGUGAAAUUCGUAGAUAUUCGGAAGAACACCAGUGGCGAAGGCGGCUCACUGGCCCGUUACUGACGCUGAGGCGCGAAAGCGUGGGGAGCAAACAGG
rnacentral:rRNA from 1 species